rnacentral:rRNA from 1 species
GAUGCAGCGACGCCGCGUGGGGGAUGACGGCCUUCGGGUUGUAAACUCCUUUCGCUAGGGAAGAAGCCACUGUGUGGUGACGGUACCUGGAUAAGAAGCACCGGCUAACUACGUGCCAGCAGCCGCGGUAAUACGUAGGGUGCGAGCGUUGUCCGGAAUUACUGGGCGUAAAGAGCUCGUAGGUGGUUUGUCGCGUCGUCUGUGAAAUCCCGGGGCUUAACUUCGGGCGUGCAGGCGAUACGGGCAUAACUAGAGUGCUGUAGGGGAGACUGGAAUUCCUGGUGUAGCGGUGAAAUGCGCAGAUAUCAGGAGGAACACCGAUGGCGAAGGCAGGUCUCUGGGCAGUUACUGACGCUGAGGAGCGAAAGCAUGGGUAGCGAACAGGAUUAGAUACCCUGGUAGUCCAUGCCGUAAACGGUGGGCGCUAGGUGUGGGGGUUUUAUUUACGAUUCCCGUGCCGUAGCUAACGCAUUAAGCGCCCCGCCUGGGGAGUACGGCCGCAAGGCUAAAACUCAAAGGAAA